CAAAGUCAUUAUUCCAGCAGAGGGAGAAGAAGGAGAUGCUGGGAAAGAGGAGAGACCAGCCGGGAAGAUGUAACAAUAGCCCCAUGGUAAUAAUGGGCCUCUGAGUUCUGAAACAGCCAACAGAGGAGAAUGACAAGGAGGGGCAAUGAUGAUCCAAGGAGGUGGCAGAUCCUCAGGAAACACAGGGUACUGGAAACUGCUACCAUUGCCCAGACUAGCAGAAUAGAUU
rnacentral:lncRNA from 1 species